GGUUGUGCUCGACCUAGACUGCUGGCAGUCUGAAUGGAAAGAAAGCCGCAUUAAAUGAGAAGAUAAGUAAUUGAAAGUGAGGAGAAACAAAAGUGGAAAGUGGUUCUUAGCUUUCAAAUGUGGAUGGCUGGGGCGCAGGGACCACCAUUAACCAUCACCAAGGAAAAGCAGCUUGAGAUUGGCUGUAUCAGCAGUAACAACAUGUCUGCUGAGGCCCAGUUUAAAAAAAAAAGUCUUUUUCAGAUAACAUUUCAGCAGGUCCCUAUUCAAGCAUAAGUGCGUAUUCACAAGUCAUUGGAAAUGAGUCAAAGAGGGGCAGAUUCCUGGCUGGAGCCUCCAGAGGCAUUUGCUUAGUAGUUACAACUGUAUUCCUGAACCAGCUCAGAGUAGAUUUAGAAAAAAAAAAAAAAAGUGAUAGUAGAUCUGGGGAGAAUACAAAACGUAGGUGCCCAAGGAUAUAGUAAUAUAAGUAAUAUAUGUUUAGUUACAAUGUAAUUAAGCUCAGAAUACAAUAAAGAGGAUUUCAGCUAGCCCACCUUUUAAAUUCUCUCUCAGACUCUCUCAUUGCUCUCAGGGAUGAGCUGGCCCCAGCCUUCCUGAGAGGUCUUUCUCAUCAGUGUGGUCUACACAGGGGUAGUAGUCACUUCCCAACUCGGCCACUAACUCUCUUGUAAGCAGUCUCUUUACUACAAGGGAGCAAGCUUUAUACUCUCCGAGAGUUCGAAGUCUGUUAGAAGAUCGUUUCUUUACAAUGGUCUUUAAAAUAUGUAGCAGUAAUGGGGGGAAAAGGUUUUGAAACCCUCCACUCUUGGCUUUAUUGCCUGAUUGCACAUAUCCGUAUACAGGGGCCACAAGUCGUGAACUCUGCCUGAUCAAGGAGAGGGUAACAGAGGUGGUUCUGAUGGGCUGUGGGAACGCCUCAUGGUCUUCUGUGAAUGGGUCCAGCUGCACAGCAGCAGAGUAGAUCUUAGAGAAUGGUUGAGCACAUUGUUUCAUGGUGUUGAACUUGAGGAGAAAAUAUCAGGUAGUCACUAAAUUAUUUAGUAAGGGCCUGAUAAAAAGAAAAAGAAAAAAAAAAAAAAACAGCCAAACUUGUACUAGGUUAUCUUUGAGGGGAUAUGGACAAAACAGACAAACUCAGACAGGUGUUAAUGACGUUUCCCCCCAAGAUAAUUUUAGAGUUGACCCCUCUAAAUACAAGCACCGGAUUACCACUUUUAGAACUGUUCAAGGUUAUUUUGACUACUUUGUG
rnacentral:lncRNA from 1 species